CCCUUAGAUGUUCUGGGCAGCACGCGCGCUACAAUGGUCUUCGCAAACGGAUGCAUUCUCGAAGGAGAAUGCCAAUCUUGGAAUCUAUGCCUUGGUCGGGACAGUUGCUUGCAAUUUUUCGACUCGAACCAGGAAUUCCUUGUAAUCGUGAUUCAUCACAUCACGAUGAAUACGUCCCUGCCCUUUGUACACACCGCCCGUCGCUCCUACCGAUUGAACGAUCCGGUGAAUUAUUUGGAGUAGCUCUGGAAGUUGCAGAACUUCCUAUGUCACGAAAUUUUGUAAACCUUAUCGUUUAGAGGAAGACAAAGUCGUAACA
rnacentral:rRNA from 1 species